rnacentral:rRNA from 1 species
CGCCAGACUCCUACGGGAGGCAGCAGUGGGGGAUAUUGCACAAUGGGGGGAACCCUGAUGCAGCGACGCCGCGUGAGUGAAGAAGUACUUCGUUAUGUAAAGCUCUAUCAGCAGGGAAGAAUAAAUGACGGUACCUGAGUAAGAAGCCCCGGCUAACUACGUGCCAGCAGCCGCGGUAAUACGUAGGGGGCAAGCGUUAUCCGGAUUUACUGGGUGUAAAGGGAGCGUAGACGGCGAUGCAAGCCAGAUGUGAAAGCCCGCGGCUCAACUGCGGUAGUGCAUUUGGAACUGUAUGGCUGGAGUGCAGGAGAGGCAGGCGGAAUUCCUAGUGUAGCGGUGAAAUGCGUAGAUAUUAGGAGGAACACCAGUGGCGAAGGCGGCCUGCUGGACUGUAACUGACGUUGAGGCUCGAAAGCGUGGGGAGCAAACAGGAUUAGAUACCCGAGUA